CAGCCGCCGCGGGAAUACGGAGGGUGCAAGCGUUAAUCGGAAUUACUGGGCGUAAAGCGCACGCAGGCGGUCUGUCAAGUCGGAUGUGAAAUCCCCGGGCUCAACCUGGGAACUGCAUUCGAAACUGGCAGGCUAGAGUCUUGUAGAGGGGGGUAGAAUUCCAGGUGUAGCGGUGAAAUGCGUAGAGAUCUGGAGGAAUACCGGUGGCGAAGGCGGCCCCCUGGACAAAGACUGACGCUCAGGUGCGAAAGCGUGGGGAGCAAACAGGAUUAGAUACCCGCGUAGUCCCUGUCUCUUAUAC
rnacentral:rRNA from 1 species